UGGGGAAUAUUGCACAAUGGGCGCAAGCCUGAUGCAGCCAUGCCGCGUGUGUGAAGAAGGCCUUCGGGUUGUAAAGCACUUUCAGCGGGGAGGAAGGCGGUGAGGUUAAUAACCUCAUCGAUUGACGCUACCCGCAGAAGAAGCACCGGCUAACUCCGUGCCAGCAGCCGCGGUAAUACGGAGGGUGCAAGCGUUAAUCGGAAUUACUGGGCGUAAAGCGCACGCAGGCGGUCUGUCAAGUCGGAUGUGAAAUCCCCGGGCUCAACCUGGGAACUGCAUUCGAAACUGGCAGGCUAGAGUCUUGUAGGGGGGGGUAGAAUUCCAGGUGUAGCGGUGAAAUGCGUAGAGAUCUGGAGGAAUACCGGUGGCGAAGGCGGCCCCCUGGACAAAGACUGACGCUCAGGUGCGAAAGCGUGGGGAGCAAACAGG
rnacentral:rRNA from 1 species